rnacentral:lncRNA from 1 species
AUAACUGGAUUAAUGUUUAAGCAAUGAAUGAUAAAUAUGACUUUUAGCAACUUGAGGAAUUAUCUACAUCUAAUCACCUGAGAUUGACAUUGAACCAUGAGGGCUAUAUGGCUCUAGCUUUAGUAAGUAUGAGUACCUUUUCUAGCUUGUUAGAGGUUACCUGUGUGGUGCAAAUAGAGGAUAGCAGACUGUGGAUCCUAGUGAGUGGUUAUAUCACACGGAUGACUAAUGAAACCUAGCGGCCCUAACCUAUUAGACGAACCUUUGAAAGACUUCAUAGUGAACCCUGCCGGCCUCCCUAGGAAGGGGGUUAAGAGAUUAGCUACCUCGGGCGAAAGGGUAAAUCAUAACUCAUGGAUAAAGAUGUAUGACCUAUGUAGAGAGUUUAUUAAACUGGUAUACGAGCCAUGCUCACAAACUUGAGCAGCCUUGGGGACAUUUACAUUGAAGAUGAUGAUUCUUGUUAUGUUAGCAUGCUCAUUAUUUAUUGUUUUAUGCUCUACAUUAUUUAUGUCACAUUGAUCAUAAGUUUGUGGGAUCUAUACAACUUGUUGCUAUAUUUGUGGAGUUUGACAUGGACUCACUCUUUCUAUUUCCCUCGCACCUCUGGAGAGUUUUAGGCUUGUGAUCAACUAGUUAGUUUAGAUCCUGUAGAGUGGAGUUAAUACCCGAAGUUUUGAGUUAUUUUCUGUUGUUUGCUGCCUA